GUGUGAGAAAGAAGGUUGAGAGAAAACUUGAGAGGGAAAAGUAAAUCGCCGGAGUCCUCGUCGGAGAAUCACCAACGAAAUUCAUCAUCUACCAAGACUUACACUCUAGAGCUUCUUCUUGGAGAGAAGAAAGACUAGUGUUGUUGAGGUUCCAUCUUUCGUCAAGAUCCGAGAGAAAUCCGCAAGGGAAGAUUCACCACUAAUUUUGUGAGGAAAUUAGACGAAACGUUGAGAUCUGAGAAUCUUUCCAAGAACGGAGGAGAGAGAAGGUGACGGCGCGCCACGUGUCAACCGGUAAGAGGUCUGUGUGCGCCAAUAACCACCGGACACACGUCAAACGCCACCUGGGGAGACGCGACUCCAGCCUUCUA